AUGCCGUUGCGCUACGCUAGAGGGCGGGAGAAGGCGGAGAGAAAACCAAGGAGUGAACGGGAUUCGGGCGGCCCAAUGAGGAGGGCCGGGGGGCGGAGGUGUGCAAGUUGGGUUGAAGGAACAGGAAAUAUUCUUAAAGGUGUCCUCUACCUAGUUGUGGUUGUAGAUUUCCAGGCCUUUCCACAACCAGAUUUGGAAAUAUCCCAGAUCUUAGACGUCCAUGGGCUAACUUCCAGAUCAGAUGAUAAUGAUGAUGAGGAGAAAGAUAUUGAUUUUUUUUGAAGAUAUUGAUUCUGAUGAGGAUGAAAUCAUACUGUUUGGAGGUAAAAAAUGUAAGUCAGGUAAAAUUUCCAGAAAUCUGAAAUACAAAGACUUUUUUGAUCCAGUUGAAAGUGAUGAAGACAUAAUAAAGUGUUCAUUAUGAUGAGCUAGAUUCAAAGAAAGAAGAUGAUGAAAUUGCUGAAGAAGCACCAGAACUAAGUAUUUCGGAAACGGAUGAAGAUGAUGACCUUGAAGAAAGUGAAGACAGUAAACAACAUAAAGAAAGCUUGAAAAGAGUGACCUUUGCUUUGCCAGAUGACGAGAAAACUGAAGAUACAGGUGUUUUAAAUGAAAGAAAAAUUCUGAUGAAGUUAAAUCCUCUUUUGAAAAAAGACAGGAAAAGAUGAAUGAAAAAAUUGCAUCUUUAGAAAAAGAGUUGUUAGAAAAAAAGCCUUGGCAGCUCCAGAGGUAAGUGACAGCACCAAAGAGGCCAGAGAACAGCCUCCUGGAGGAGACCCUGCACUUUGACCAUGCUAUCCGGAUGGCACCUGUGAUUACAGAGGAAACCACCCUUAAACUGGAAGAUAUAAUUAAACAGAGGAUAAGAGAUCAGGCUUGGGAUGACAUAGUACGUAAAGAAAAACCUAAAGAGGAUGCAUGAGAACAUAAAAAGCGUUUACCCUUAGACCAUGGGAAGAGUAAAUUGAGCCUUGCUGAAAUUUAUGAACAGGAGUACAUCAAACUCAACCAGCAAAAAACAGCAGAAGAAGAAAAUCCAGAGCAUGUAGAAAUUCAGAAGAUGAUGGAUUCCCUCUUCUUAAGAUUGGAUGCCCUCUCAAACUUCCACUUUAUCCCUAAACCCCCUGUACCAGAGAUUAAAGUUGUGUCAAAUCUGCCAGCCAUAACCAUGGAGGAAGUAGCCCCAGUGAGUGUUAGUGACGCAGCUCUCCUGGCCCCAGAGGAGAUCAAGGAGAAAAAUAAAGCUGGAGAUGUAAAAACAGCUGUUGAAAAAACAGCUACAGACGAGAAAUGAGAGCGGAGGAAAAAGAAAUCUCAAAAGCGUAUGAAAAUGAAGGAGAAGGAGAAGCGGAGAAAACUGCUUGAAAAGAGCAGCCUAGAUCAAGCAGGGAAAUACAGCAAAGCAGUAGCUUCAGAAAAGUUAAAACAGCUCACAAAAACUGGCAAAGCUUCCUUCAUAAAGGAUGAAGGUGAAGACAAAGCCUUAAAGUCCUCUCAAGCAUUCUUUUUUAAAUUACAAGAUCAAGUAAAAAUGCAAAUCAAUGAUGCAAAGAAAACAGAAAAGAAAAAGAAGACAAGACAGGAUAUUUCUGAUCUUAAAUUAAAGCUGUAA